rnacentral:rRNA from 1 species
UACGUAGGGUGCGAGCGUUGUCCGGAAUUAUUGGGCGUAAAGCGCACGCAGGCGGUCUCUUAAGUUUGGAGUGACAGUUGGUGGCUUAACUGCCAAAGUGCUUCGAAAACUGAGAGACUUGAGGGCUUCAGAGGGACACGGAAUUCCGGGUGGAGUGGUGAAAUGCGUAGAGAUCCGGAGGAACACCAAAGGCGAAGGCAGUGUCCUGGGGAGUACCUGACGCUCAGGUGCGAAAGCCAGGGGAGCGAACGGG